UACGUAGGGUGCAAGCGUUGUCCGGAAUUAUUGGGCGUAAAGAGCUCGUAGGCGGUUUGUUGCGUCGGCUGUGAAAUCCCGAGGCUCAACCUCGGGUCUGCAGUCGAUACGAGCAAACUAGAGUGUUGCAGGGGAGACUGGAAUUCCUGGUGUAGCGGUGAAAUGCGCAGAUAUCGGGAAGAACACCCGUGGCUAAGGCGGCUCUCUAGUACGGUACUGACGCUGAGACGCGAAAGCGUGGGGAGCGAACAGG
rnacentral:rRNA from 1 species